rnacentral:lncRNA from 1 species
CUUUCUCACUCUAAGAAUACACGAUAAGUAGUAAAAAAAAGUACCUAUGAUCACUAGUUGAUCUGAUUGGUACAAGAUUGAGAGCAAAAGACAAAUGCAAAGAAUAAGCGUUUAAGUGCAGACAAGUGCAGUGAAGCUUUUCUGGUUUUUCUACUUUCUAUAGCUCAAAUCUCAUUCAAGGCUUCUAAAAACUUAUUUUUAAUUGUUGGAAGACCCUUUUAUACUUGGAGAUACAACUCUGAUGGCAGUUUGGCAGUUUAUAUCCGUUGGAAACAGUUGAGGAUGAGUUCUAGCCGUUAAUCUGUCUUGUAGUGCUCUAGUUCAAAUUGCAGACAGAGAGCUCUUAGUCGACUAACUUGGUUGACUAAGUUGGUUCUGUUUUUAGUUUACAGAUUCUGGCAGAAAGCACUUAGUCGACUAACUUGGUCGACUAAACUGAUUCUGUUUCUUAAACUCUUCAACCCACCAUUUCUCCAAUUUGAAAUUUGGUCAACCAAUGUUCUUCCUUGUUGCUCAGCUACAUCUUGUUGAUUUUAUCCCUCUUUCUCUUUCAAAAAUACUCUUUGAAGAGUUAAUAAAUUAAUUUCAUAUAUUAAUUUCCUGCACACUUAAGUAAAGGAAUUAAACACAAAUAAAUGGAACGUUUUAUUAUCAUCAAAACUAAUGGAGCCAACAUAUUGAUUAUGCAUCUUUAUGCAAAAUCUUAAGUUUUAGAUUCCAAUGUAACUAAGUGAUACUAAUGAAACUCUUUCCUUAGUGUCAUCAUGCUCCCACUAAAUCCAAGAUUCUCUGUGAGAGUAAUAUUCAAACUAUUUUGAAUAUUCAUGAAGUUACAUACACAUCUCAACGUAUGCUUAAAAUCCUAUUGGUUUGGAAUGUCAUAAUGGGUUUUAUGUAUUAAAGAGGUAUGGACCAAAUCAUAUCACUAUAUGAAUUUGCUUUCAUCCUUAAACAAACAUCUUUGUAUUCUAUUCAUAAGAAAGUUACAUUUUAUAUGAAUCUAUAUUCAUCUCUCGAACAAUCAACUACAAGUAAGAGUAGUCUUCACUAAGAUCAUAUCUUAAUAAGAGUACGUUAUACUAUGUAGUUCAUAUGAUCUUAUAUUAGAAUUCUCUGAACAUUUCAAACAAUCCAAAUUAUACUUCUUUAAGUAUACAAGACAAUCUUAAUUUGGUCUUGUGUAAACUUAAUGAAUUAGGAAUAUUUCCCAUGGCAUUUUAUGUUUAAUGGUUCACAUACAUUUUUAUAUGUAUAAAACCUUUAAAACAUACCAAGUCAUUCACUUUUACACGAAAAGAAAUUCAGUCAUGUAGACAAGAAUUACUAGCUCCUUUGUGAUUCCAAAUCAAAAGGAUCUAAGUAUCUUCAUACUUUAAUUUGUACUUUAAUGACCAAGACUCCAAUGACAUAAUCGAGACCAUAUGCGAUCAGUUUUCUUGACAUUUAUAUUGAGCAUUGAUUUACUACUAUUGUAGAGUGCUUUAUGUCAUUACUCAAAUGCAUCCCACAUCUAGUAUUGAAUACUUAUGAUGUUGGUACAAUAGCACCAACUACUAGCUUAAUCAUAAAGUUGGUUAAAGUAGAAACUUCUAUAAGUUUCUUCUUCUUUAACUCUAUCAAGGAAACAUCUUUAGUUUGUCCAUCUUUACCACAAAGGUACUUGAGAAUACCUCCCAAGCUUGUGUCCUUACUGUAGUUGUCUUUCAUAUUCAAUAAUUAAACGUAAUAAAACUCCCAUCAAAUGGAAAUUCAUUCCUAAUUAUGAAUAGAUUUGGUAAAGACUAUAGAACCAAGUCAAAAUUUAGUUCAUUACUCAUGACAAAAUUUCAUUGCUCUAGCUUUGCUAUAAAGCCUAACAACCUUAAAUCAUGGUUCUAACAAGGCUAUCUUUUGUCUUUUCCUCAUAGAAACAAUUUCUAUGAGAUCUCAUGCCUUUACGUAUGACCUUACUUAUAAAACAAUUCUUUUUUCUUGCAAAGCCAUACAUUUAGAUGACAUGUUCUUAUGUUGCUUUUGAAGCUUUGAAGUCAUAAUAGCCAAUAUCAUAUAUGUGGCUUAAUAAGUCUAAUGAGCAUCCCAUUCUUCAUUUCCAUUAACCUCAACAUGGGCUUAUGGCAAAGCUUACUAUAAAUAGACAACCUUUUGCUUGAAAACAAUUCUCAAUUCUUAGUAACAUUCCAAUAGGUUUGGUCUAGUGGUUUUGCUUUGCAUCUAAGAUGCUCUAAAGUGACAGGUUGUUAGACAUAGCAAUGUAUAUAAAUAAGCCUAAAUAAAUAAGCUAUUGGUAAGUAUCAUGCAUAAACUAUUUAAAACAACGUUUUAACAUUUUAAAUAGUCUCUCACUAGUUUAUAUGUAAAAUGACAACACUCAAAUUCAUUUUGGAAAGUCCUUACUUAGAUCUUUCUAGGGGCCGGACCUUUUUCAACUUAUUGCAACUUUGAAUGACUCAACAAACCACAAUAAGCGUAAUAGGGUAGAUAACAUAGCUUAUCAAUUGCAUCUCAAUGCAACUCCUAGAUCAGUUAUGUAGUACCCUGUAUUUUGAUACUGUAGCUAAUAAAGUUUACAGAUGCCAAUUGAGGUUGAUUACUGAGUUAAAAAGGGUGAUUCAAAAGUGAACUUGUGAAAUCUCGAUCUCCAUAGGCACAUAACUAGAAGUAGACGCGAUAAUGCGAACUAGGGGUAAUAUCAUCAUUUCUCUUGGUGAGCCCCUAAAAGUAGUUUUCUAAUGUUAUUAAGGUCCAAGUAGGCCUAAGGAAUAGUUUGGGAUAAAAUAUUCUACAUGCGAGAAAAUAAUAAUAAAAUAAUAAUAUUUUUAUCAGAGAAGAAUUUGCAGAAUAAAAAGUGAUUUGAAAGUCAAUUGAGGCAUAAAAAGGUAUUUUGGGUGCCAAGGAGACAAUAAGAGACGAGAAAAUUUUUGAAAUAAAAUAAUAUUAAAAUAUUAAUAUUUUAUUCAGUGUCAAAAUUUUUCAUGAAGGAGUAUAUGGUCAAUCUAAGUGGGGGAGAAGAAGAAUGAAAGAAUUUUGGAGAAAAAUGACGUUAAUGGGGCCGCGUGUCUUUAUUAAGUAAAGAUAGCUCGGGCAAAUAAAUAUUUUAAAUAUUAUGGGGACCUUGCGUUGGAGUACAAACUUCAUACUUUCUUUGUACAUGUGCAGAAGAAGGUAAUAGAAGGAAAUUGGAGUUAAAUGAGUGUUGGGAGGACUAAAUUAAAAUGGAAGGAAACAAAAAGUGUAAAAUGGUCAUUUUGCACCCUAAGUAAAAAUUUUAAGUUUUUGUAAACUUGAGUAGUUUAGAUCAUUGUGGACCUUGUCCCAGUGUCAAAAGAAUAAAAAGAUUGCACAAAGGAUUGGAGACAAACAAGUUAACUUGCUAAAGAGCAUUUUUGUAAUUUCCAAGGGAAUUCGAUAAGUUUGAGCUAUAAAUAUCUUUUUCUUCCAGCAGCUUCUUCUUCUUCCUCCUUCCAUCUCACGUUUGUUUCCCCCUCCAUGGAAGCAUGGUAUGAAAACUUCAUAACUUUCUCUCUCUAGCUCUAAUUUUCAUGCCUUUGUGCACCUUUUCAUGGAACCCUUGUGCUCUUUCACUCUUUUACUUCAAAACCCUUGAAAAAAAAUCCCACUUUCAUACUUUCUUUCACUAGCUAGGUGUUUAGAGAGAGAAGGAAAGAGAAAGCUCCCAUAGUAGCUUGGACAAUUUAUUGGAAAGAAUUUCAAAGUUACAAGCUACCAAGGUGAGUAGUGAAUUAGAAUUUAUUUUUUUGUGUUGGGAAUGAUUAGUAAGUGGACUUGUGAAUGUUGUAGUUGAGGUUAUCCACUCAUUUUAGAGUGAUUAGGGUAGUAAAGAUNAGAAUAGAUAGCCAUUUAAUGGCAAUUGGUAGCUAGUUAAGAGAAAGCUUUAGACUUUAUAAUUAUGUGAAUUGACAAAUUGGUGACGCUAAUGUGAUGAUAGGUUCCAAAGAAGCCCCAUCAUCCCAUUUGGACAAUUAGGGAAGUUAGAGUUGACUAAAGGUUCAACAAGAUACUGGUGAGUGAAUUGCAUUUCAAAAUCGUUUUGGAAAAUAUAAUUGUGUUUUGUAUGAAACAUUUAAAUGAUUUAUCCAGCUUUUCUUAAAAAAUGUAACAUAGGAACAAGCCUUUGGUGAGGUGUUUUUAUCUUGUGAAAAUGUGAUAUAUAAAUGGUUUAUAUGUUAUCACAAUAUGAUGAUAUGUAUAAUAUGCAUUGGGUGUUUCUUUUGUAUGUUAAUGUGGACCUCGCUAUGUGCAAGUAAGAGUGCACAUAUGUCGAUGAUGACUCGACUAUAUGCUAGUAGGAGUGCACAUACGCCUAUGAUGACCUAGUUAUGUGCGAGUCGGAGUGUGCAUAAGCCGUUGAUGACCCAACUAUGUGCGAGUGGGAGUGCACAUAAGCCGAUGAUGACCCGGCUAUAUGCGACGCAUAAGCCGAUGAUGACCCAGCCAUGUGCGAGUGGGGAGUGCACAUAAGCUGAUGAUGAUGGGAGAGUGUACAUGAUGAUGAAUGAAGUGGGGGUGGUGUACUUGUUGAUAUAUGUUUAUAUAUGUAUAUGGGAUAGCAAGUUUAUGAUUAUAACAUGUGAUUGUUUUAAAUGUUGAUAACUUGAUUAUUGUCAAUGUGUUCACUUUGAUGUGCAAUAUGUUAGGGAUGGAUUUUGUGGCAAGUUAAAACCCUUUAAUUGUCAUCUGCCCUGAAUCUCGCUACAACUAGAAUGCAUUCUCACUGUAGUGAGAAACUCUCGAGUUCUAGUAUAGUGCUUUCAAUUCGAUGAAGAUUUUGACCACCUUCCCAUCCGAACUGGGAAAGGUGGUCAACAUUAAAGUUGUAACUCUACCUCUUAGCUUUAUAAUAGUCCAAAAAUCAGGUCAAUUGGACUUCUGUAACGGGAGAUAUGAUUAAAAAACUGAAACACAUGCAAACUGAUACUAUUUCUUGCUACAGUGAGAAACUCUCUGUUUUGGCCGCUUGAAUCUCGCUGCAACGAGAAACUUGCUGCCAUGCUUGCUACCUUGCUUGAUUUUGACAUAUUUUUCACCCAUUUAACUACAUGGAUUGAUCUUGGGUUUUUGCAACACUAUGAGGUUAUUGAUCAAAGUUUGAAAUAAGGGGUUUUUAGUAAGAAAUUGAAUCAAUUGCAUCGUUUUUGAAACAAGUGCAUCAUGAUUUCCAAAUUCUUCCUAUCGAUUGCUUGUUCCCUUAUUAUGUUCACUCAUUGAGUUUUAUACUCAAGUUUUUAAAUUUCAUGUUUUCAGAUUUGUAGGCAAUUGGGACCUAGAUUGAGUCGCACACAUAUGCUCAUCUUCUUGGUAGGUACAAUGGCAUUUCAGUAGCUGUAUCUUCACCCAGAGUCACUCCGCUAAUGGUCUCGAGUCUAUUACUUGUGAACAUGUAUAUGUAAUGUAAACUACUAAGAGUCAUGUUAUAAAUGAAGUAUGUAUAUGUUGGAUUGAUAAUGACAGUACUUUGAUAUAAUAUAAAUGUGAAUAUUCAGUUGUUAUAAAAUAUUACUGGAACAUUUACUUUUGAGAGUUACAGCACUUCAUUUUAAAGAUGAUGGAUGGGAAUGAUAAUCGGAAUUGCAUAAAGAGGCUUGCUUGGGCUUAAUGGGCUAUGCCCAUUGGGCCCAUGUGCCGAUCAUGGCCCGAGAAUUUGGCCUAUGACAAAGUUGGUAUCAGAGCCAGGUUUAGUCAAGUCUUAAGGAUUUUCGUGUCAGGCAGCUGAUUUGUCGGAGUUAAUGUAGAGUCUUGUCUAUGGUUUGUGAUUGCAACACAAGUCAUAGACAGGAAGCUAUAUGAACUCCUAUUCCUAGUAACCUACCCUUUUGCUAUCGUCAUGUCAAGGGCAUAAAUGGUAUCGCUUCUCGGGUUUGAGAUGCCACCCGAGACACAAACCAUUAUUGGAAAGAUUUUAAGCAAAUGCUCCUAAUGAAAGGUCAAUAUAAUGAUAUAUUCCUCCGACUAAGGAUAGAGGAAGGUGGAGUUGGACUGUUAGGUCUGUAAUAAUUUAUUCAUUUGGUAGAAUUAUGAUUCGAACCCAUGGUUAUCAAAAAACAAAUUAAUUAAAAAUUUGGAGACUAUGGAUUGUAUUUGAGGUCAAUAUAGGGAAAGACGUACGAUAAUGGUAAUAAGAGCAGUAUUUGACUGGAAUAAAUAGUGAAUGUUAUGACUUACUUGAGGUUUAUAAAUUUAAAUAUCGAGGAAAGUGUAAACCAACGUUUAUGUGCACGGAGGUAAGUGCACUAUGUUAAUUGAGCUUGACAUGCCCUUAUAGAAAUGGUGUGGGCUUUAGAAAUAUUUUAUAAGCGUAUAAGUGUUGAAUAUGUGUAUAGUAGCUUAAAUGGAGUUAGUUUUGAUUUCAAGUGAUUGCGAGAUUCCAAGGCUUGAAUUGAAUUAUUGUGGUUUAUGGUUAUAAUUGCAUGAAUUAGCUCAAGGGUGAAAAUCACGAAUUAUUAUAAUUGAUGUAUGGUCAUGAAGUAAAAGGCUAGUAAAUGAUCUACUCUAAGGAUGAGCUUGAAUUUUGCUAUGCUUAGUGUAGAGCCAAAGGAUUAAAGGACUAGAUGUGGAUUUAGCAGUUUGAAAUUAAAUGACAUGGAAAUGACAAAUUUAGUCUAAGUGCCAUAUGGAGUUCUAUAUGAAGGUCGAUAUAUGAAUUGCUUUAAAGGUCAAUUUAAAAAUAUGUUUGGUUCAAUAUGCAAUCUAUGAUGUAAAUGAUUAGUCUUGAAUGUGACUUCUCCAAAGGUAAAGGACUUAAAACAUGUGGAUUUUCGAAUAUGCUCUAAGAGGAAGUUUCUGCAUCCUAAGCUUAAGAAAUUUUGAUAUUAUGACUGCAAAGGCAAGAUACAAAAAUUACGUGAAUUGUUUAUCUUAUGGAUGUAAUUGGUUAAGAAUUAAUGAGUAAAGUCAAGAUCUUAACACUAAGUGGUGUACAAUUUAAUAUAUGUGUACCUAAGAGUAAAUUUGGAGAUCAUUGCUUAAUCAAUUUGCACUGGAUGUUGUGGUAAAGGUAUAUGAAUGUUAGUAAUGAAGUAUGUCCAAAGUGAGAUAUGUGGAGACUAAUGUUCUGAUCGCAAACUUGUGAUAGAAAGCUAGUUUUGCAAAUUGUGGUUUCCAUGAUCAUAAAAUAUAUGGAGGUUACCAAUAUGUAAGCAUACACUCGAAGUUGUAUAUCUUGUGAUUCACAUUCAUUGUAUGGAAGGAGAUAUUCCAUAGAAGGAUUUGGCCUAAUUGGUGAUUACAUGACUAUAGGCUUGGUAUGAGAUUAAGAAUGCCUUAAAAUGUAUGAAAAGUGUGUUGCGAAAGGCUGAAAGUCAUUAAGACGAAUGAUGGGUGAAACAUAGGUGUUGUUAGGAUGAGCAAAAAAAGCUCAAGGAUAAUCAAUGCAAUUAUAUUAAGUUAGUUUGGUUUGGUCCGAAACAAAAGUAAGGACAUCUUGAAAGAUCUUAAAAUAAUGUUCAAUGGGGUUAAUGAGCUAAAUGUUAUCGAAUAUAUAUUAAAUUGUUAAAGUUAUGCAUGGCUUUGAAGAUAAGCCUUUGAUUGUCUGAGUCCUCAACAAAAUUCUAUUAAAGGAUGUGUUUAAGUAUUUUGAAAGUAUAUUAGAAAACAUAAGAAUAAUAUAUUUGUUUGACUUGCUAUAAGAGGUCGAAUUUGGAUGGCCAUGAGUGGCUUGUGAACAAUCAAGCAGUGUAAAGUUUGUGCUCAUAAAGGGAGCUAUGAUUGGUAGAUAAAGGUGGAACUUUAGAAUUUCAUUGUCAUAGUUACUAGAUUAUAUUUUGUAUUAUAUGAUAUAGCGUAGAACAUCAAUGAUGAGGUUGUGUUCAAUGCUUUAGGCCUUGAACUGUAAGAUAUGGACAUGUAUCCACCUUAUGAAUACCCUGAUGAGAUAAAUUCGAAAGAUUUUUCACAAUGAAAAAACAUUAAAGCUUAAAGAGCAAAUGACUACAUAGUCAAGUUGGGCUCAUGACUGAUAUGUCACAUAAGUAUGAAGAUAUGACACAAGCAUAAAUAUUCUUGGAAAUGUUGGUUUGCGGCAAUGAUUAUCCAACCAUUUUGUGAGCCCGAUGAGGUUCUGGUCUCGACAUAAUUGUAGACGCAAGGCAUAAAUUGUGAAAUGUGCUUCCCCCACAAGUUCCAAUUUAUUUGACUAAUUAUUAAGGUAAAAUGCUUGGUAAAGGUAGGCAAAGGUUGAAUUGUGUUUCAAAUGUUUAGAGAAUGAGGGUGACACGAGUUGAUUAAACGAUACUACUACUGGUGAGGGAAUAGAAAUACACUACGGGAAUUGCAGAGAUCUACUUAGGAAAAAAAGAUGAUGAUUUGAGAAUUCAAGUACUCGUGUACGAGUAAAGAUUUGGCAUUGAGACAUGACCUAGAGUUGGAAUACUACAAUAUGAAUUUUGACUAAAAAAAUCAACUUAUAAAUCACAUGGUGUUUGGAGAUGGUGCAAAUUAGUGGUUGACUCUUGUAUGAGAAUGGAAUAUUGAAAUCAACUUUGUGUAUUCACCACAAAUGAUGAGCAUGAUCUAACCAACUAAGAGAAGAAAUGACUCUAAACUUGAUUGUUGGUUAUUUUGGUUUUAUAGAUGGCUUAUUGAGGUUGAUAUGCCUAAGGCUAUUCGAAGUUAAAAUUUUUGGAAAUAUAUAUAUAUGUAUGGCUAUAUAUGUUGCAUAUUGGUAUAAAAGCUCAUGUGGAGUUAGUUAUAAUUUGAUUCGAUGAUGACAAUCUAUCAAUGGUUAUAGUGCUAGACAAUGAUUAAGAUAAUUUAUCACUGAUUUUGGCAGUGAACAAGUGGAUUAUAAUGCUGUUAGCUUUAAAGUAAGUGUUUAUACUUUUGGUAUGAGUUCAUCAAAUUCUAUUAUAUUGUAAUCAAACUUGGUGUUUUGUUAUAGCCUGAGAGGCUUGGCAUAUGACCUAGCUUAACUAUGAGCUAGAAAUUGUUAGGUUAUCAUGAAGUACACAAAUAGGGAAGUAUGACAUGAACUUAAUAUCCUAAGGGGCAAUGGAAAAUGAUGUAUCAGUUUUGGUGUAGCUUCAACAUAUACAGUUUUGAUAAAUAAAGAUGUGGGGAAAAUUUUGAGCAAACUUUAAUCUUGAAAGGUUGAGUUAUUGAUUAAAGAGAUUGGUUAAGAUUACAAGGGGGUAUGUGGAAUGUCAUGAUUUAUUGAAAUGCCUUGUGGUAUAAGUUCAGAUUUAUCUAGUGAACACUCGAUCAUGAAAGUACUAGAGUUUGUUUUUGGGAAUAUGAUGACUAAUGGUUACUAGAUUUGAAUCAUCUUUGAUAAAAAAAAAAGAUGAAAUGAAUAAAGAGAGUUUGAUCCCUAUGUAUUGUGAAAUGCUUAAAUGGAAUUUGCAUGGGAGAAUGAAAAAUGAAAUAGAGAUUGGUUCACAAAUUAAACCCAUAGUCAAUGGUGGAACAGAUGCUUGAAUAUUGGAAGGUUUGAUAAAGGAGCAAGGCAGAGGAGUUGUGGAUGGUUAAGUAAACAUGCAUAAUUCAUGAUUUAAGGAUGAUUUGAUUGAGGUGUGACCAGAAUUAAUAGCUUAUUUGAAUUCUCUUCAAAAGAUAAAGAAUGAUAUUGUUUUGAUCCAACAAGAGCGGCAAAUAUAACAAUAUACUAUAACAUUGUCGAGUUUUCUAUAAGAUUGGAAGUCGAUAUGAUGCAUAAACCAAGAUGCUAUGUUAAGAAUGCCUAACGAAAGCAAUGUGGCAGAACUUUAGAACUUCGAUUAUUCACCCUACGCUAAUUUGAAUUCGAGUAUGAAUUCAUUUUAAGUGGGGGAGAUUGUAGUAUCCUGUAUUUUGAUACGGUAGCUAAUAAAGUUUACGGAUGCCAAUUGAGGUUGAUUACUGAGUUAAAAAGGGUAAUUCAGAAGUGAACUUCUGAAAUCUCGAUCUCCAUAAGCACAUAACUAGAAGUAGACGCAAUAAUGCGGACCAGGGGUAAUAUCUUCAUUUCUCUUGGUGAGCCCCUAAAAGUAGUUUUCUAAUGUUAUUAAGGUCCAAGUAGGCCUAAGGAAUAGUUCGGGAUAAAAUAUUCCACAUGCGAGAAAAUAAUAAUAUUUUUAUCAGAAAAGAAUUUGCAGAAUAAAAAGUGAUUCGGAAGUCAAUUAAGGCAUAAAAUGGUAUUUUGGGUGCCAAAGAGACAAGAGAAAAAUUUUGGAAUAAAAUAAUAUUUUAUUAAUAAAAUAAUAUUAAAAUAUUAAUAUUUUAUUCAGUGUCAAAAUUUUUCAUGAAGAAGGAGUAUAUGGUCAAUCUAAGUGGGGGAGAAGAAGAAUGAGAGAAUUUUGGAAAAAAAUGACGUUAAUGGGGCCGCGUGUCUUUAUUAAGUAAAGAUAGCGUGAGCAAAUAAAUAUUUUAAAUAUUAUGGGGACAACACGUUGGAAUACAAACUUCAUACUUUGUUUGUACAUGUGUAGAAGAAGGUAAUAGAAUGAAAUUGGAGUUAAAUGAAUGUUGGGAGGACUAAAUUAAAACAGAAAGAAACAAAAAGGGUAAAAUGGUCAUUUUGCACCCCGAGUCAAAAUUUUAAGUUUUUGUAAACUCGAGUAGUUUAGAUCAUUGUGGACCUUGUCCCAAUGUCAAAAGAAUAAAAAGAUUGCACAAAGAAUUGGAGAAGAACAACUUGCUAAAAGGCAUUUUCGUAAUUUUUAAGAGAAUUCGAUAAGUUUGAGCUAUAAAUAUCUUCUCUUUCCAGCAGCUUCUUCUUCUUCCUCCUUCCAUCUCACGUUUGUUUCCCCCUCCAUGGAAGCAUGGUAUGAAAAAUUCAUAACUUUCUCUCUCUAGCUCCAAUUUUCAUGCCUUUGUGCACCUUUUCAUGGAACCUUGUGCUCUUUCACUCUUUUACUUCAAAACCCUUGAAAAAAAUCCCACUUUCAUACUUUCUCUCACUAGCUAGGUGUUUAGAGAGAGAAAGAGAUAGAAAGCUCCCAUAAUAGCUUGGAAAAUUUAUUGGAAAGAAUUUCAAAGUUACAAGCUACCAAGGUGAGUAAUGAAUUAGAAUUUAUUUUUAUGUGUUGGGAAUGAUUAGUAAGUAGACUUGUGAAUGUUGUAGUUAAGGUUAUCCACUCAUUUUAGAGUGAUUAGGGUAGUGAAGAUAGAUAGCCAUUUAAAUGGCAAUUGGAAGCUAGCUAAGAGAAAGCUUUAGACUUUAUAAGUAUGUGAAUUGACAAAUUACAUUGUUUUGAAAAAUGAAUGCAUCAUGAUUUUGUUAAACAUUCCUUAUGGUAUGCUUGUUCCCUUUCUUGUUCACUCAUUGGGUUUAUACUCACCGUUUUCAACUUCAUGUUUUCAGAUCAAGAGGCAGCCAAUAAUUAGGUCAAGGUGCCCUUGUAGAUUCGUUUCCUUGGUAGGUAUCUCGGCAGUCAAUAGCCAUACAUCACUCGGGUCUCUCCGCUGGAAAUCGAGUCUUCCUUUUUAGAUGUAUAAAACAAACUUGAUGUAAAUUAUUAAGAUACCUGUUGUAGACAAUGUACACUUGAUUGGUAUGCCAGUAUGAGUUGGCAAUGUUUAGUUUCAUUUUGAUUCAAAGUUAUGAAAUGAGACUCAUAAGCUUUUGAUGGAAUGAUGAACAUGUCAGAUGAAUAGGCUUGCUUGGGCUUAGUGGAUUAUGUCAAGUCGGUCCAUGCACCGGUCAUGGCCCGAAAUUUGGGUCGUGACAGUACCCGGACCUUAUUUCAAAAAUUUUCAUAAAUAAAAUUUUAACCAAACAUCCACAAUCAUAUUAGAUCUAUAGUCCAUAACCAUCGUUAUACAUCCACAAUCUAGUAUGAACAUACAAAGUAAACAUGCUUAAUAUGUUGAUGACCUUGCAUUUCAUUUGAAAAUGUCACUCAACUGAGAAGAAUUAUAGUUCAAAUCAUUUGAUGCUUAGGUUUGAAAAGAUUUAGUAAUUAUAGACAAUAAUUUUUCAAAAUUACUUAGUAAAGGAAUUGAUCGCAUCAAGGCCUUUAGCUAUCUCAAAUCAUAUUUGAGUUAACUAAAUUAGUAAGUUCUUUCUAAUUAAACUCCUUUAAUUAGAAACCUAAACCAUUUUAGGAAACUUCCUAAUUUGAUUAUCUAUCUUAAACCAUUUAGGAAGGUUUCAUGACCCUAAUCAUGUAUCCUAUACAUUUUAGGAAACUUCUAAAUAUGUCCUAAUCAUUUGAGGAAACUUUCCAUAUUUAGCCAAAACACUUUAGGAAACUUUCUAAAUCCAGAAACUCAUCCUAAAUAUUUUAGGAAGGUCUUUAUCCAGUUUAUAAUCUUGCAUUAUCCAUUUACUAAUUUUAGAGCUCUAAUCAUUUUUAGAAGUCUUAGUUCAUUAGUAAAUGUUCCUUAAUUAAAAAGCUUUCCUGAUCAAAUUAAGAUGUCAUCUUCACAAAUUGACUUGCCAUUUUCAUUAAGCUUAUAUAAUUUAGUUAGAUGUUAACAAAUUUAAAUUACAAUCCCUUGAUUUAAGGAGUCCUCAUCCAAAUGAGGAAGACUUAAUUGAUUUGAAUAUUUGAUCUAUAUCAAAUUGUUGAUUAAAAUCAAUCAAGGAUCAUAUUCAUGAUUUUAGGUGCACAUCCCUAGCAUUUAGGGAUUCAAUGAUUAGCCAAGCAAAGAAUUCUUGCUAACCAUUGCUUGUGCCUUGCAUGACAACUUGCCACCUAACCAAGGGUUGGUGGCCACCACGCUAAUGGCAAUUCAAGCCACCUUGUGUGGCAACCCUUAGAGCAACCUUUGCUAUUUGGUAAUCGCAGCACUAGGUGAAAAAGCUUCCAAAAUUUCAGCAUUUUUUAGCAGCCUUUAAAAUUGACUUUCUACCUAUUUCCAACCUCACACAUGAACAAUUUCAUGGUGGAAUCAAUUCAAGAAUUUUUCAAAAUUAAUGCAAAAUAAGUUUACACUAAUAGAGCCGAAACACAUGUUGAAAUUUUUUAGCAGGUAGAUUCAAUUCAGUUUCUUAAAUCAUGAACAAUUCGUGAUUUUGUUGUCCACAUAUCCAACAAUUAUGUUGGCCCCUAGGUGUGUGCUAGAGUGGGGGUGAAUAGUACUUUCUAAAUGUCACUAAAGUUAACUUCAAAAUUAGAGCUCGUUAAAAGUAGAUGAUGAAAAGUUGUGAACCAGAUGGAAGAAUGAUUUAAACGAGAAUGAAAUGAAGAAAUAAAAAAGGAUAAACAAUGCACAAAAAUUUAUAGAGGUUCGGUCUCUUUGACCUACAUCCACUACCUUGAUCUUUCAAUCAAUGAUUUUUAAAUCAAUUCACUAGAAUUAAUGGAUUUACCAAGCAUCCACCAAGCUUUUGCAAUGGCUUUUCAUAGGCUCAGCCACAACCUUUCAAUCACGACCCAAAUUCCGGGCCAUGAUCGACGCAUGGGCCCAAUGGACGUAGUCCCCUAAGCCCAAGCAAGCCUAUUUAUAUGAUCUGUCCACCAUUCCAUCAAACGUUACUAAGUACAUUCCAUAACUUUGAAUCAAAAUAAUACUAAGCAUUACCAACUCAUUGUGUCAUACCAAUAAAAAUGUACAUAUAUUGUCUAAACGUGCAAUUUAAUAAUUUACAUCACUUGUACAUAUUUACAACAAAAUGACUAUGGGUUUCCAGUGGAGCAACCACAGUGAAGGUGUAACUACUGAAUGCCAUUGAUACCUACCAAAGAUACGAAUCUACAACGACACCUCGACCUAGCUAUCGGUUGCCUCUUGAUCUGAAAACAUGAAGUUGAAAACGGUGAGUAUAAACCCAGUGAGUGAACAAAAAGGGAACAAGCAAUCAAUAGGAAAUAUUUGAAAAUCAUACUGCACUUGUUUCAAAACAAUGCAAUUUAGUUUUACUCUUAUUAAAACCCCUCCUUAGACCCUUAAAUGGUUAAUCACUUGAUAAUGUUGAAUCCACACAUAACAAAGAAAUUGAAAAAUGAAGGUUUCACUAAUAUAUAAGUAAGUCUAAUGAAAUGACAGGUCCUCGCUACAGCAGAAAGGCAUUUUCGCUGCAACUAUGCUGCAAUGAGAAUGAAUUUUCGCAGCAGCGAAGUUAGGGCUCAAGUUACUAGCUAAACAAGGGUUUCUCUCAAAAUUUCCUCAUUCCAAACUUAGUUAGAUAAUCCCCAAACAUGUUGGAAGUCCACGCUCAACUAGGGUAUAAAUGAAAUGGAAAAACAAAUGGCAAAACCCAUAAUAUAGCAAAAUGGACAGAAGGUUUCUCGCUGCAACGAGUUUUUCUUCGCUAAAACAGAAAGUUUCUCAUUGCAGCGAGAAGCUACAGUAACUUUCUCACUGCAAGGAGAACUAGGUCAAGUGAAGGCCCUCAAACUCGAGAGUUUCUCCCUACAGCAAGAAAUAGAGAACUAAGAAAAAGGUUUCCUUUCUUUCAAGAAAAAGCCAUCCUGCUAAAAUGAAAAAAGUACCAUGAAACACAAACAAUUUCCCAAAGUUCAACAUGCCAAAUUCAUAUGCAUUUCAACCAUAAACCAUAUUCAUGAGUUUUCAUUUUCUAAACAUAUAUACAUAUACAUACAUGGAUAAAUACCAAUACCACUAUCAUCUCAUCCAUUUCAUGUCAUCCCCCCACAUCAUGCACAUAGUCGGAGUCAUCAUGUGCAUCCCCCCACAUCGUGCACAAUCAGUGCCAUCGUGUACAUCUCCUCACAUCGUGCACACGGGCACUAUCAUCAUCUAUCUCCCUCACCACCACCAUUACUGGCAUGUGCAUUCCCCCACAUCGUGCACACACACGGUUGUAAUCAUCACACAAUAUCAACCAUCAUGCACAACAUAUAUAUAUCUAUAUAUAUACCAACAUAAUGUAGUAGUGCAUGAAUCCAUAACAACCGCAUGUCACAACAUAAAAUCAAUUUAUCAAAGGCUUGUUACCAAGGCACUUGUUUUUAAGGAAAGUUGAAUAAAAUCAUUCAAGUAUACUGUGCAAAUAAGUUUACAUUCCCAAAAAAAAAUUUGAAAUGCAAGUUCACUCACUGGUAUUUUGUUAAAUCCUGACUCAACUCCAACUUCCUCUAUUGGUCCAAAUAGGGUGAUGGGGCUUCAUUGGAACCUAUUAUCACAUUAGCAUCACCAUUAAGUCAAUUCACAUACUUAUAAAAUCUAAAAGCUUUCUCUUAGUUAGCUUUCAAAUUGCCAUUUAAGUGGCUAUCUAAGUUCACUAUUCUAAUCACUCUAAAGUGAAUGAACAACCCCAACUACCAAAUCACCCACAAGUCUAAACACUAAUCAUUUUCAACAUAAAAACUCAAUUCUAUUGUACUACUCACCUUGGUAGCUUGUAUUUAAAAUUCUUCCCUACAACUUUCAAGCUAUUAUUAAAGCUUCCUCUUUCUCUUUCUAAAACACCUAAGUAGUGAGAGAGAGUAUGGAAACAAGAUUUUCCAAGGGUUUCAAAGUGAGUGAGUGGAAGAGCAUAAGGGUUUAUGAAAAGAGUGCACCAAGGCAUGAAAAGUGGAGCUAUUUUAAGGGAGGCUAUAGAGGUUCAUAUCAAACUUCCAUGGAGGUUAAAAGUAACAUGAAAGAGAAGAAGAAGAAUGAGAAAAACUGCUAGACUUAAAUUACGAAAAUGCCCCUCCACAAAUUAACUUGUUCUCUUCCAAUCCUUUAUGCAAUCUUUUUACUCUUUUGACACUGGGACAAGGUCCAUAAUGGUCUAGAAAUGUUUGGGUUCAUGAAAACUUAAAAAUUUUGACUCGAGGUGAAAAAUGACUAUUUUGCCCUUACCGUAGAAAUCAUCAUCAUUUUCAUUUCUUUCAUCAUUUUACCCAUAUUUCAUCAUUCAUUUAUGCCUUAGGCCUACUUAGGCCUUAAUAUUGUUUAAAACUUACUUUUAAGGGCUUACUAAAGAAAUGACGAAACUACCCCUAGCCCGUGUUAUUGUGUCCAUUACUAACUAUGAGUCUAUAAAGGUCAAGGUCUCACACUUUUAACAAUAGUUUUUCACUUGACAUAAACUUCUUCUUGAAUAUGGCCAUUUAAAAAUGCACUUUUCACAUCCAUUUGAAAUGGUUUGAAAUUCAUGAAACAUGCAAAUGCAAGUAAUAAUCUUAUGGCUUCUAACCUGGCAAUAGGAGCAAGGGUUUCAUCGUAGUCAAUACUUUCUUCUUGAUUAUAUCCUUAAGCAACUAGCCUAGCUUUGUUUCUAAUUACAUUACCUUGUUCAUCCACCUUGUUUCUAAACACCCACUUUGUACCAACAAUUACGUGAUUGAAUGACCUUUCAAACUGUUCAAGCUCUUCUUACAUGGCCAACAUCCAACUUUCUUCCUUUUUUGCUUCUUCGAAGUUUUCAGUCUCAACUUGUGAAAUGAAGGCUAAGUAUUCACAUGUUUCUUAACUCCUCUUUUUGUUUUUAACUCCUUCUAAAAGAUCACCAAUAAUCUGCUCUUAUGGGUGGUGUUUGACAUAUUUCCAACUCUUUAGAAGAUCAUUAAAUUGGUUUUCAAAUCUUUGUAGAUCUUCUAAAGAUGGAACUUUUGCUUCUCUUUCAUGGGAGUUUUCUUCACUAUUUUUCAUGUUCUCCAAGCUCAUUUUUUCCAUUUGUUUCUCAAGAUCCUCUGCAUCAUCAUCAUCUACAAAAGCUUUCUUUUACACAAUAGUAGUUUCAUAAAAAACUACAUGAAUAGACUUUUCAAUCAUUAAAGUUCUUUUGUUAAAAACUCUAUAUGCUUUUGAAUUUAAUGCAUAUCCUAGAAAAAUUACCUCAUCACUCUUAGCAUCAAAUUUUUCCCAGAGUGUGUUUUCCAUUAUUUAAAACAAAACAUUUACUAUUGAAACUUCAAAAAUAAGAAAUAUUUGGUUUUCUUCAUUUGUAUAAUUCAUUAGGAGUUUUGAUAUCAUGGCCCUUAUUGAAACUCUGUUUAAAAUGUAGGCUGUUGUAUUAACAGCUUCUGCCUAAAAAACUUUGGUAAAUUGUUCUCACAAAGCAUGGUUCGAGCCAUUUCCUUUAAGGUUUGAUUUUUUCUCUUAACAACUCCAUUUUGUUGAGGCGUUCUAGGUGUGGAAAAGUUGUGAUCAAACCCUCUUUUAUUACAAAAAUUUUUAAAUUCAUCUCCUUCAAAAUCACCACCAUGAUCACUUUUAAUGUUGGCAAUGAGAAGUCUUUUUUCAUUUUGAACUUUCUUAUAUUGAGUUGCAAAUGUAGGUAAUGCAUCAUUUUUGUAAGCAAGGAAGUAAACCCAAUUAUAUCUGGAAUAGUCAUCAACUAUCACAAAACCAUAUGAUUUACCUCCUAAGUUGGUUAUGUUAAUUAGACCAAAUAGAUCUAUAUGCAAUAGUUCAAGAGGUCUAGAUGUUGAUAUGAUCUUUUUUGGCUUUGAAUCAUGUUCUAACUUGUUUUCCUAAUUGACAAGCAUCACAAAUCUGAUCUUUUUCAAAUUUAAUUUUAGGCAUUCCAAUAACCAGAUUUUUUUUCUCUAGUUUUGAAAUGGUAUGCAUGCUUGCAUGUCCAAGUCUUCAAUGCCAUAACCAACUAUUAUUUUCAUCAUUUACCAUAAGACAUGUCUCACAAUCUAGCUCAAGAUCUUCGAGAAAUAUAACAUACAUGUUUUUUAUUCUUUUUCCUAUAAAUGCAAUUUUGUUGGUGCUAAUAGAUAAAACUUCACAUUUAUGUGAAUCAAAACAUACUUUAAAGCCUUUGUCACAAUUGACUAAUAUUUACUAGAUUAUGCUUUAAGCCUUUAACAAAUAGAACAUGAUUAAUUUGAGCAUGAGAAUUUUUACCAAUAGUUCCUACACCAUGCCUUUUGAAUCAUCUUUAAAUGAUAUUGUACCACUUUUUUUCUUAUCUAGUUGAGCAAACAGCAUUUCAUUUCCUAUCAUAUGCCCUGAGCAGCCACGAUCCAUGUACCAUAGUUGCUUCCGCUUCAAUUGAGCUUUUAGACAUCUGUCUUCUCGGUUUAGCGCAACCUACAAAACAAAUUUUCAGUCUUUCCUAAUAGGUACCCAUACUUUGAUAGGUCCCUAAAGGUUUGUUGAUACAUGAGAGCCUUUUGGUACCCAAAUCAUUUUUGUUCUUUGUGUGUUUUUUCUUCUUGACAUUCAUAAGAUAGAUGACCUAUUUUGCCACAUACAUAACACCUAGAUGAGAAAACAUGAGAAUUUCUCUUAAAGGUUGUAUUUAUUCUUGAUGCUUCUUUUGUUAAGUCCUUAAGAGCAAUGUUUUCAUCAAUUGCCUUUUGCAAUGCCUCAUUUUUGUUAUCAAGUUCCAAUUUCAAAAUUGCAAAAUCUGUUUUAAAAUGUUCUAGUUGAGUUUGAAGCAAAUUUCUCUGUUCAAACACAGAGUUCAAUUCAUAUUUUAACUUUUCUAAUUCAUUUUCAAGAAACGUAGUCUUUCUUUUUAGGACCUUAUAUUUUAGUGCAAGUUUUUCAAACUCAUCAUAUAAGCAUUCAUAUUCUUCUUGAAAUUCAUCAAUUGAAAUAUCACAAAGGGUAGAGAAUACCUUGGAUUUAUCAUCUUUGGCCAUUAGGCAUAGGUUUGCUCUAUCUUCCACUUUCUUUUCAUCAACUUCUGAACUUGAUGUAUCACUAUCAAACCAGGUUGCAACCACUAUAGCCUUUUGUGAUUUUUUGUUUUUCUUAGGAGUUUCCUCCUUCAGUAAUAGGCAUUUUGAUCUGAAGUGUCUAGGUUUCUUACACUUAAAACAUAUAAUAUCAUUUUUAUUGUUAGAUUCAUUUUUGUUUCUGACCUUCCAUGAGGAACCUUGAUCUCUUCUAUAGCUUUUCUUAGCAAGUCUUCUAUUUCUUUGUCCCAUAAGUUGUCUAAACCUUACAACUACCAUGGCCAACUCUUCAUCAUCAUCACAUGAUAGAUUCUCUAACUCUUCUUUAAGAGUGCUUACUUUCAAAGCAAUAUUUUUCUUCCUUUCUUUGGCUUCUCUCUUAUCUUCUUCUUCUUUAAGCUCUAGCUCAUGAGUGGAAAAAGAGCGACAAAUUUCAUUAAGAAUGACGACAUUCAAAUCUUUAGCCUCUUGAAUAACAAUCACUUUUGGCUUCCAAUUCUUAGGUAAGCUUCUAAGAAGCCUUUUGAUAAGUUCAUGUUCAAGAAUUGGCUUACUUAACAGACUAAGUUUGUUGGUGAUGUUAGCAAACCUAUCAAACAUGCUAGUGAUAUCUUCACCGGGUUUCAUCUUGAACAUUUCAUAGUUGUGGGUUAGGAAAGCAAUUUUGGACUCCUUGACUUAUGAAGUCCCUUCAUAAUUGAUUCUUAAUUUGUCCCAAACUUGUUUGGCAGUAUGCAACUUGACACUUUGUUAAAUUCUGUGGGAGUCAAGGCAAAAUGUAAAUUAUUAAUUGCCUUAAAAUUUGUUUAGACCAUUUUUAUUUCAGCUUCAGUCCAUUCAGCUCACAGCUUAGGAAUCCUUUCACUAGUCACAACAUUUUUGGUCGAAGGGAUAUAAGGUCCGUUAGUGAUAACAUCCCACAUUUCAUAAUCUAUUGCUCUUAUGUAAAUAAAUAUUCUAGUGCUCCAAUAGAGAUAUUUUGAUCCAUCAAACAGAGGUGGUCUAUUUAUGGACUGUCCCUCAGCAACAACAUAGUUUUUAAGAGCCAUUUAGAUCUUCCUUAAGAAUGUUAAGCCUUAAAAAUGAAGGUUAAGCUUUAUAUCACUUGUUGGUCCCUAGGUGUGUGCUAAAAGGGGGUGAAUAACACUUUCUAAAUGUCAAUAAAGUUAACUUCAAAUUUAGAGCUUGUUAAAAGUAAAUGAUGAAACGUUGAGAACUAGAUGGAAGAAUGAUUAAAAGAAGAAUGAAAUGAAGAAAUAAAAAAGGGUAGACAAUGCACAAAACUUUGUAGUGGUUCAGCCUCUUUGACCUAUAUCCACUACCGUGAUCUUCCAAUCAAGGAUUUUUAGAUCAAUUCACUAGAAUCAGUGGAUUUCCCAAGCAUCCAUCAAGCUUUUACAAUGGCUUUUCACUGGCUCAGCCAUAACCUUUCAACAAUGGUUUUUCACGGGAUCAACCAAAAUCUAAAAUCUAACUUUUCUAAGGCUGAGUUAGAACCUACAACAACAACCAAGCUAACCUAAACUUGAUUAAUCCCCUUAGAGUGCCUUGCACACUCUAAGCAAUCAAGGAAUACAAAUAUGAAGAUGUACCUAAGAUCACUAACCUGAUCUGAUUGGUACAAGAUGAGGUGCUAAACUCUAUUACAAAGAUUGGAGUGAAACAUAAGAAGAAUUGAAAGGAUUAUUGCUAUUUUUGAUCUCUUUUUGUUCUUGAAAGCAUCUCCUAAUCUUCUUAGCCAUUGGAGAUGUCCUUUAUACUUGAAAAAUCAACUAUGAUGGAUGUUGAUUGUGUGAGACCUUGACCUUUAUAGACUCGUAGAUAGAAAUAUACGCGAUAUCCCUAAUUAGGAGUAAUUUCAUCAUUUUCUCAAUAAGGCCAUAAAAGUAAGUUUUAAACAAUAUUAUGGCUUAAGUAGGCCUAAAGUAUAAAUGAAUGAUGAAAAUAUGGGUGAAAUGACAAGGAAAUAAAAAUUUUGAUGAUUUUCAUGUUUUAAGGGAAAAACAGUAAUUUUGUCACCCGAGGACAAAAUGGAAAUUUUUAGAAUUUUACACCACUUGACACUUGUCAUGCCCAUGGAUUUCAGCCAUUAACAUUUUACAUUAUGGAUAAUUGAAACAUUUUAUGUGGUGGAGAGAGAUUGCUUAAUGGAUAAGUAUGACAUAUGGACCAAUGGAAACAUGCCAUGUGUCAAGCUUGGAUUAUUCUAGAAUUUCCUUGUAAAAUCUAUUUAAAACUCUCUUAGUUUUACCCAUAUGGCUGGCCAAAGCAUGAAGUGAAGAGGAAAGGAAAGAACACAAACCCUAGGUGGGAAAAUUGAAGAAAAAGUGUGGGAUUUCGAGGAUUAAGCUAAUUUAUGGAGGGGCAUUUUAGUAAUUUCUAAGGGAGCGGAUAAGCUUGGGCCAUAAAUAUUCUCUCCUUCUAGCAACUUCUUGGGAUUUUUAAUAGCUUUUUCUUCCUGUUCUCUUCCCUCUCACGUUUUUUCAAUUCUUCCAUGGAAGCUUGAUGUGAAGCUUUCAUAACUUUCUCUCUCUAGUUCUAAUUUUCAUACCUUGGUGCCUUUUUCACUAGAACCCUUGUAUUCUUCCACUCUCUCACUUUAAAACCCUUGAAAAUGAUGAAAAUCUUGUUUCCAUAAUCUCUCACUAGUUAGGUGUUUUAAGGAGAGAAAGAGGAAGCUUUAUUAAUAGCUUGAGAGCUUUUGGAAAGAAGUUCAAAGUUACAAAGCUAUCAAGGUGAGUAGUAAANNNNNNNNNNNNNNNNNNNNNNNNNNNNNNNNNNNNNNNNNNNNNNNNNNNNNNNNNNNNNNNNNNNNNNNNNNNNNNNNNNNNNNNNNNNNNNNNNNNNNNNNNNNNNNNNNNNNNNNNNNNNNNNNNNNNNNNNNNNNNNNNNNNNNNNNNNNNNNNNNNNNNNNNNNNNNNNNNNNNNNNNNNNNNNNNNNNNNNNNNNNNNNNNNNNNNNNNNNNNNNNNNNNNNNNNNNNNNNNNNNNNNNNNNNNNNNNNNNNNNNNNNNNNNNNNNNNNNNNNNNNNNNNNNNNNNNNNNNNNNNNNNNNNNNNNNNNNNNNNNNNNNNNNNNNNNNNNNNNNNNNNNNNNNNNNNNNNNNNNNNNNNNNNNNNNNNNNNNNNNNNNNNNNNNNNNNNNNNNNNNNNNNNNNNNNNNNNNNNNNNNNNNNNNNNNNNNNNNNNNNNNNNNNNNNNNNNNNNNNNNNNNNNNNNNNNNNNNNNNNNNNNNNNNNNNNNNNNNNNNNNNNNNNNNNNNNNNNNNNNNNNNNNNNNNNNNNNNNNNNNNNNNNNNNNNNNNNNNNNNNNNNNNNNNNNNNNNNNNNNNNNNNNNNNNNNNNNNNNNNNNNNNNNNNNNNNNNNNNNNNNNNNNNNNNNNNNNNNNNNNNNNNNNNNNNNNNNNNNNNNNNNNNNNNNNNNNNNNNNNNNNNNNNNNNNNNNNNNNNNNNNNNNNNNNNNNNNNNNNNNNNNNNNNNNNNNNNNNNNNNNNNNNNNNNNNNNNNNNNNNNNNNNNNNNNNNNNNNNNNNNNNNNNNNNNNNNNNNNNNNNNNNNNNNNNNNNNNNNNNNNNNNNNNNNNNNNNNNNNNNNNNNNNNNNNNNNNNNNNNNNNNNNNNNNNNNNNNNNNNNNNNNNNNNNNNNNNNNNNNNNNNNNNNNNNNNNNNNNNNNNNUUUUAAGUGAUUUACUCAUGAGGGGUUUACAUGAGGGGUUCUACUAAGAACUAGAACAAAUUGCAUUGUUUUGAGAAAAUGAGUGCAUCAUGAUUUCGAUAAACAUUCCUUAUGGUAUGCUUGUUCCCUUCUUGUUCACUCACUGAGUUUAUGCUCACUGCUUUCAACUUCAUGUUUUCAGAUUAAGAGACAGCCGGUAACUAGGACGAGGUGUCCUUGUGGGCUUGUAUCCAUCUUUUGGUAGGUGUCUCGGCAUUCAGUAGCUGUACAUUCAUUCGAGUCUCUUUGCUGGACAUCGAGUCUCCUUUUGUUGUGUAUAGACGAACCUAAUGUGAAUUAUUAAGAUACAUGUGUAGACAAUGUAUAUACACUUGUUUGGUAUGCUAGUAUGAAAUGGCAAUGCUUAAUAUUAUUUUGAUUCUAAGUUAUGAUAUAUGACUUAGUAGUUUAUGAUGGAAUGAUGAACAUGUCAGAUUAAUAGGCUUGCUUGGGCUUAGUGGACUACAUCCAUUGGGCCCAUGCACCGGUCAUGACCCAGAAUUUGGGUCGUGACAAUGUUGGUAUCAGAGCUCUAGGUUUGUCUAUGUCCUGGGACUUCCAUUUGUUGGUCCAGCAGAGUGUCAGGUUUUUAUGUGGAAACUUCGAUUGUGAAGUGUGAACUGCGGCACAUUUUACGACCAAGGGACCGCAUAGAUUCCCUAUCUUAGAAACCACCUUUUUCCUUGAGUAUGAUUAUGAAAUGUGUUUAGUAACAGAUGUUUGCUCUUGUCUAGGUAAUAAUGCCACCUAAGACACGAGCUACCUCAAGAUGGAUGAGGGAACAAGAUGAUCCUACUAAGAUGGCAGGUAGGCCACGGGCAUCCACCCUAAGGGGCCGAGGUAAACGUGGCAGGGCCACUAGGCCGGUGAGAGUGGAUGCGCUUAUGAGUAGGCGAGAGGAGGGACAGUCCUCAAGUGAUGUAGAUAGACACCCAACUGGGGGUAUUACCAUUGAGGAUUUGGCAGCAGGCCUAUAGGGAGUUAAUCGAGUUAUAGAGAUGAUGGCGAUCCGUAUGGAAGAUAUACAGAGGGUAGUAGAGGGGAGACCUACAGUGCAAGAAUCCCCUAGCUCUCAAGGACAAGCUGACCGCCAAUAUCAUGAGGUUGAGAGGGGUCACUUAGAGGUUUCUCUUCCUAAUUUUCUUAGGCUUAAGCCUCCAUCAUUUUCAGGGUCCGAUGCGUUGGAAAAGCCCCAAAUCUUUUUAGAUAAAAUGGAGAAAAUAUGUAAGGCUUUAGGAUGCUCUAGUGUCCGAUCAGUCGAGCUAGCCACCUUUCGAUUAGAGGAUGUGGCACAAGAGUGGUAUAGUUCUCUCUGUAGAGGCAGACUGAUGGAUGCAGCACCAUUGACUUAGGGUGAGUUUAGUGCAGCCUUUUUAGACUGAUUCUUACCACUUAGUGUACGUAAUGCACGAACUAGGGAGUUUGAGACUUUGGUGCGACAUCAAGUUCACGUAGUUGUCUCGGUAUGCUCCCUACCUAGUUUCCAUUGAGAAGAUGAAGAUUCAGAGGUUUAUGGAUGGGUUAGUAGAGCCACUGUUUAGGGCUAUGGCAUCCCGAGAUUUUAAAACCUACUCCGCAACGGUAGAUUGUGCUUAACAUAUUGAAAUGAGGAUCAGUGAGAGUAGGGUUACGAGGGAUAGAGUAAAAAGGGCCAAAGCAGAAGGUUAUCAAGGCCGUAGAGAUUUCAGCAGUGAUGGUUCAUCUUUUAGCCGUCAGGGUCUACAGAGGGACUCACGAUUUCCCCAGUAAGGGAGUGACUCGCCUAGUGCUAGUAUUACGGCGGGACAAAUAACCUUCAGUGUUGGAAGGCAGCAAGAUACGAGGCAAGGAAGUCAACUUAUCCUUCCUUGCCAUACUUGUGGGGGACGACAUAGAGGAAGAUGCCUUUACGCUACGGGAGUUUGUUUCAGGUGUGGUCAACUUGGGCAUAUUAUGAAGGAUUGUAUGAUGGCUCAUCAAUCACAAUAUUCUGCUCGUGGUUCCACCCAGCCAGCUUCGUUUGCUCCUUCAGUCGCCGUCUGAUAGGGAAGCUAGUGGAUCCAGAGGUAAAGGUGUUGGUACUUCCUCUCAGGUCAGGCCAUCUAGGUCCGAACGUCAGAGUUCUGUUGGUAGAGGCCAGGCGAGGGUGUUUGCUUUAACACAGCAAGAGGCCCAGACAUCCAAUGCAGUGGUCUCAGGUAUUCUCUUAGUUUGCAAUAUGAAUGCUCGAGUCUUAUUUGAUCCUGGUGCUACCCACUCUUUUAUCUCUCCUUGUUUUGCAUCUCGGUUGGGUAGAGAUCGUGUUAGGAGAGAGGAACAAUUAGUGGUGUCUACUCCUUUAAAGGAAGUAUUUGUAGCCGAACGGGAAUAUGAGUCUUGUGUAGUGCGAGUCAAGGACAAUGAUACUUUGGUGAAUCUAGUGGUGUUAGACACCUUAGACUUUGAUGUGAUCUUGGGGAUGGAUUGGUUAUCACCUUGCCAUGCUAGUGUGGACUGCUAUCAUAAAUUGGUUAGAUUUGAUUCCCGACACUAGACCUAUAUCCAUACCCCCAUAUAGAACGGCACCUGUAGAGCUUAAAGAGCUUAAGGAUCAGUUAGAAGAUUUGCUCGAUAAAGGCUUUAUCUGACCUAGCAUCUCACCAUGGGGAGUCUGGCACAUAUUGCUACAGAUAGGAGAUCCUUGGUUAGGGAGAUCCAUCGCUUGGGAGAUAUAGGUGUGCAUUUAGAAGUUGUUGAAACAAAUGCAUUGCUAGCACAUUUUAGAGUGAGGCCUAUUUUAAUCGACAGGAUUAAAGAAACACAAGGUAAAGAUGAGUUUGUAGUUAAGGCCUUAGAGGAUCCUCAAGGAAGAAAAGGAAAAAUGUUUACCAAAGGCACAGAUGGAGUGAAGACGUAACAUGGGAGGCCAAUGAGGAUAUGAGGACAAAAUAUCCCCACCUUCAUGUUGCAUAGAGGUAAGUCACCUUAUAAUUGAAUUUAAAUUCAGGGACCUAAUUUCUUUAAGUGGGAGAGAAUGUGAGACCUUAACCUUUAUAGACUCCUAGAUAGAAAUAUACGCGAUAUCCUUAAUCAGGGGUAAUUUCAUCAUUUUCUCAAUAAGCCCAUAAAAGUAAGUUUUAAACAAUAUUAUGGCUUAAAAAGGCCUAAAGCAUAAAUGAAUGAUGAAAAUAUGGGUGAAAUGACAAGGAAAUAAAAAUUUUGAUGAUUUUCAUGUUUUAGGGGCAAAAUGGUAAUUUUGUCACCCGAGGACAAAAUGGGAAUUUUUGGAAUUUUACACCACCUGACACUUGUCAUGCCCAUGGAUUUCAGCCAUUAACAUUUUACAUUGUGGAUAAUUAAAACAUUUUAUGUGGUGGAGAGAGAUUGCUUAAUGGAUAAGUAUUACACAUGGACCAAUGGAAACAUACCAUGUGUCAAGCUUGGAUUAUUCUAGAAUUUCCUUGUAAAAUCUACUUAAAACUCUCUUAGUUUUACCCAUAUGGCUGGCCAAAGCAUGAAGUGAAGAGGAAAGGAAAGAACACAAACCCUAGGUGGGAAAAUUGAAGAAAAAAUGUGGGAUUUCAGUGAUUAAGCUAAUUUAUGGAGGGGCAUUUUAGUAAUUUCAAAAGGAGUGGAUAAGCUUGGGCCAUAAAUAUCCUCUCCUUCUAGCAACUUCUUGGGAUUUCUAGCAGUUUUUCUUCUUGUUCUCUUCCCUUUCACGUUUCUUCAAUUCUUCCAUGGAAGCUUGAUGUGAAGCUUUCAUAACUUUCUCUCUCUAGUUUUAAUUUUCAUACCUUGGUGCCCUUUUGACUAGAACCCUUGUAUUCUUCCACUCUCUCACUUUAAAACCCUUGAAAAUGAUGAAAAUCUUGUUUCCAUAAUCUCUCACUAGUUAGGUGUUUUAGAGAGAGAAAGAGGAAGCUUUAUUAAUAGCUUGAGAGCUUUUGGAAAGAAGUUCAAAGUUACAAAGCUAUCAAGGUGAGUAGUAAACUAGUAUUGGGUUUUAAGUGUUGAGAAUGACUAGAGAUUUGAUUUGUGAAUAUUUUGUAGUUGAGAUUGUUAAUUCACUUUGGAGUGAUAGGAAAGUGAAAAUGGAUGGCCAUUUAAAUGGCAAUUGAAAGCUAGC